ACUGUCACACACGCACAAAUGGGCAGUUGAUCCAGUAGUGACAGGCAGCAGAACCACCCAAAUAAAGACAGAAGACGCUAAACAGUACGUUGGCCCUCUGGAUGGAAAUAUGAGGACAAAAAAAACAAGACGGAACAGGUGGGGGUGGACCUGGUG